AGCGUGGGGAGCAAACAGGAUUAGAUACCCCUGGUAGUCCACGCCGUAAAACGAUGUAGAAUUUGGAGGUUGUGCCCUUGAGGCGUGGCUUCCGGAGCUAAACGCGUUAAGUCGACCGCCUGGGGAGUACGGCCGCAAGGUUAAAACUCAAAUGAAUUGACGGGGGCCCGCACAAGCGGUGGAGCAUGUGGUUUAAUUCGAUGCAACGCGAAGAACCUUACCUGGUCUUGACAUCCACGGAAGUUUUCAGAGAUGAGAAUGUGCCUUCGGGAACCGUGAGACAGGUGCUGCAUGGCUGUCGUCAGCUCGUGUUGUGAAAUGUUGGGUUAAGUCCCGCAACGAGCGCAACCCUUAUCCUUUGUUGCCAGCGGUCCGGCCGGGAACUCAAAGGAGACUGCCAGUGAUAAACUGGAGGAAGGUGGGGAUGACGUCAAGUCAUCAUGGCCCUUACGACCAGGGCUACACACGUGCUACAAUGGCGCAUACAAAGAGAAGCGACCUCGCGAGAGCAAGCGGACCUCAUAAAGUGCGUCGUAGUCCGGAUUGGAGUCUGCAACUCGACUCCAUGAAGUCGGAAUCGCUUGUAAUCGUGGAUCAGAAUGCCACGGUGAAUACGUUCCCGGGCCUUGUCCACCGCCCGUCACACCAUGGGAGUGGGUUGCAAAAGAAGUAGGUAGCUUAACCUUCGGAGACGCUUACACACU
rnacentral:rRNA from 1 species